rnacentral:tRNA from 1 species
AGCCUUGUGGUGAGGAGCACAUUGGAUUGCAAGUCCAAAGACGCAGACUAAUAUUCUGCCGGGGCUU